rnacentral:miRNA from 2 species
UUUAAUUUCCUCCAAUAUCUCA